CCUACGGGAGGCAGCAGUGAGGAAUAUUGGUCAAUGGACGAGAGUCUGAACCAGCCAAGUAGCGUGAAGGAUGACUGCCCUAUGGGUUGUAAACUUCUUUUAUAUGGGAAUAAAAUGUUCCACGUGUGGGCUUUUGUAUGUACCAUAUGAAUAAGGAUCGGCUAACUCCGUGCCAGCAGCCGCGGUAAUACGGAGGAUCCGAGCGUUAUCCGGAUUUAUUGGGUUUAAAGGGAGCGUAGGUGGAUUGUUAAGUCAGUUGUGAAAGUUUGCGGCUCAACCGUAAAAUUGCGGUUGAAACUGGCAGUCUUGAGUACAGUAGAGGUGGGCGGAAUUCGUGGUGUAGCGGUGAAAUGCUUAGAUAUCACGAAGAACUCCGAUUGCGAAGGCAGCUCACUGGACUGCAACUGACACUGAGGCUCGAAAGUGUGGGUAUCAAACAGGAUUAGAUACCCUUGUAGUC
rnacentral:rRNA from 1 species